GAAGGGCAUCGGAGACUUGAGAAGAGAGGGAGGGAGGAGAGAGAGACACGUCGAGGUGGAGGGAGUGUUUGGUGAGGUGGCGGUGGUCUGUGGAGAAGGGGGAGAUCACGUGGAAGUGGUCGGAGGAGGAGACGGCGGAGAGGAAAGAGGAAAGAAGAGAGGGCGCGUCCGAUGGAAAUGAAGGGCCGACGAGGAUGACAUGGAGGGAGACAGAAAGGGAGAGUUGGAGGGAGGAGAUGAGGUGGCGAUGAUGGGUAGUGGCGGAGAAGAGGGUUUUUCUGAGGUGGGAGGGAAGUGAGAGGAAGGAGUCGUUGGUGGCUUGUGGAUCCAACCGAGAUUGUUGGCUCAGGAAUGAGUCCAGACCCAGGAUCG
rnacentral:lncRNA from 1 species